AACGAACGCUGGCGGCAGGCUUAACACAUGCAAGUCGAACGGGCACCUUCGGGUGUCAGUGGCAGACGGGUGAGUAACGCGUGGGAACGUACCCUUCGGUUCGGAAUAACCCAGGGAAACUUGGGCUAAUACCGGAUACGUCCGUAAGGAGAAAGAUUUAUUGCCGAAGGAUCGGCCCGCGUCGGAUUAGCUAGUUGGUGGGGUAAUGGCCCACCAAGGCGACGAUCCGUAGCUGGUCUGAGAGGAUGAUCAGCCACACUGGGACUGAGACACGGCCCACGACUCCUACGGGAGGCAGCAGUGGGAUAUUGGACAAUGGGCGCAAGCCUGAUCCAGCCAUGCCGCGUGAGUGAUGAAGGCC
rnacentral:rRNA from 1 species